rfam:Salmo salar isolate Sally breed double haploid chromosome ssa17, whole genome shotgun sequence.
UCACAUCCAAUUUGUAAGUCGCUCUGGAUAAGAGCGUCUGCUUAAAUGACUUAAA